AAUGAACGCUGGCGGCAUGCCUAACACAUGCAAGUCGAACGAGAUCUUCGGAUCUAGUGGCGCACGGGUGCGUAACGCGUGGGAAUCUACCCUUGGGUUCGGAAUAACAGCGAGAAAUUGCUGCUAAUACCGGAUGAUGACGUAAGUCCAAAGAUUUAUCGCCUAGGGAUGAGCCCGCGUAGGAUUAGGUAGUUGGUGUGGUAAAGGCGCACCAAGCCUACGACCUUAGCUGGUCUGAGAGGAUGAUCAGCCACACUGGGACUGAGACACGGCCCAGACUCCUACGGGAGGCAGCAGUGGGGAAUAUUGGACAAUGGGCGGAAAGCCUGAUCCAGCAAUGCCGCGU
rnacentral:rRNA from 1 species